GCCUAGCCCUGAUAGUAGUGAAAAUCCUGUUAUGUCCGCCGCGGCUGACAUAAAAGAUUGUAACGGAUAGCAGGAAGCAGC
rnacentral:sRNA from 1 species